GAUGAACAAGUCAGCACUUCUUCUGUUACUUCUCAUCGGACUCGUCGUCCUUACUGAAAAUUCUGAUGCUAAACUGAAAACUUGGCCCAAAAAUUACUGGAGAAAAGUCUGGAGCAAAAAAAACUGGCGCAAAUUUGUAAAGAAAUUUAAGCAUUGGAAUCAAGGACAAAACGUUGAAGACAUGGAUCUCGAAGACAUGCAACUUCUUUGGGAAAUCUGAACGCCUAAUCAUAUAAAGGCAAUAAAGAUCGUACGAUUUAAAUAAAUUGUAUAUCAGCAAAAUA